AUCGCGGUACAAUCUAGCAACAGCUGAUGGUAUUAAACACUCGUACAAGACACUACCAAAACCUCAGUCGGUAACAACGUUAACUACCAACCAACUUAUUCGCACCAAAGAAAGAAUAAUUUUACAAAUCUGAAAAUGUCCUCUGCGAUAUUGUGACGUGUAACAACACAUGUCUCACUCGGAUCCACUGAAGAGCCUACAGGUUGCCAAAACCCAGGACAUAAAACCUUAAAUCUCACACAGUGAAACUCCAUGCACAAAAAAAACAACACUGCAUUCUGGUAGAAUCAGUCCUGAAGAUAGAGGCAGUAUGUUUCAUCAAAACACUGGGAUUGACCAGUCUACACUGCAUCAAAAGCAUCAUCCUCACUGCUGCAAAAACUGACACCUCACAUAUCUUCAGUCUGCUUAGUAAAACAUGGUUUUUAAUCUACCACUUCUGCAACUGUCCAAUAUGAACCAACUGCUAGUCAUUAACAAUGUUUGGUAACUUCUGGAAACAGGGAGCUAUAAUAACACAUACUUCAGUAGAGGAGUCAUAGAAGGGUGAACUAUUGGCAAUUCAUAUGUAACAGUACUGCAAAAAUGUCUUUUGUUCACAAAAACAAUUACUAAUUUGUACCAUAAAAGUUAAGUGCUUUUCCCAAAUGCACUUCAAGAUGAAAAACCUGUUGUUCAUAGCUCUUUACAUCAUUUAUAUUUACUGCUCUGGCACCACACCUCAAAAUCUUACAAACUUUGUAUUUUCUUGAAUAAAUAACAAUACACGUGAUACACACAGAA